GAUUUGCCGAUUACGGAAAACUCGAGAGGAAACACAUUUCUGCAACUUUUGUGCUCACCUGAAUCCCAGUGACAUUUUAUCAGCGGAUCGUUCAUACACGAAUACUGCCAGAUUUGUGUCGCCUUACGUGAAUUUGCGGGUUCCAACCAUGUUUGCUCUUUGUGUGGGCGCUACCUCCAUAUGGUUCCACGCGAGGUCAGUUGAAUAUGCGAAACCCUUGUCCACGAUGGUAAAGUUGAAAAACCGGAAGCGAUUUGACUGAAAGGCGGCUUGGAGGACACCUUAUCUAUUUAGUUAUGUUUCAUUUUCAAUUAAUUUUAAAUUCUUAUUCAUGAUAG